GACAGUGGAGCCUGCACCGGAAGCGACCUCACAGUGGAGGUCUGCAGCCAGGACCGUUCUGGUCCUGGUGGAACAAUGCCUAGUACUAAAAAAUGUUUUUUUGGUUGUAAGGGAAAGUUAUUUAAUUUCUUUGGUUUUCCGAAAGACCCAAGUACCAGGCAAGAGUGGGUAGAUACGCUGAUUCCCGGCCAACAACAGAAGACUCUGUGGGUUUGUCAACGGCACUUCCUACCGGAUUGUUUCACAAACCUGGGCCAAUGCAAGGUUGGAUUAGCAGCUAAACUGGUGCUCAUUGAUGGCUCAGUUCCAACAAUCCUCGGCCGUGUGGAAGAGUCAGAAGCUCAGAGUACAUCACAGCAGACCCUGACCGGUGAAACACGCAGGGACAUGGGAUGUCAAACAGACCCUCCAUAUACACUGUCCAGUGCAACGCAGACGGUGUGCAAUGUGAGAUCUGUUGGCACAAAAAUGCUGUUUCCGUCUUCAAAAUCUGUGGCCACACAGUUGUCACUUACUACACUGAAACAACACGUGAGAAGCAAAGGUUCACAGGCCACUGUGUCCUGCCAGAAUGCUGGCACAGAGACCAUUGUGCAAGAAAAGGGGCUAGAAUGGUCUUCCAACCCAGUGAAGGGGUUGGCAUCCUCAAUGGGUGUCAGAGCAGCUAAAAGAGCUCGCCUUGAGUUGCUAGAGUCAGACGAGGAGUCGGAACGAGAAGACUGUCGUUUCAGAGACACAUGACUCAACAUAUAUAUUUUUUUAACAUGUUUCAACAGUUAAUUUCAUCUUCAGCUCCAACAAAAACUCUCUAACCUUGCAUAAAUCUUGGUUGUAUCGGUAUUAGCAUGGUAGCCAGACAUUUAAUUUGCUAUUUCAUGUUAUUUAUGUUUUUUUUAAUAUUCACUGGUUGUGCUGAUAAAGUAAUUUCUUUGAAUAAACAUGUUCCUGCCAAAUUUUCCUUUUCUCAAUACAUCCAGUCAUGUCCGUGAUGGUAAUAAUAGUGUAGUCCAUAGGAUAACAAUGAGAUGAAUAUACAACAUAAUAAUAGCGUUUAUGAAUGUUUGACAAUUUUCUUUUUAUUAAUGGGGUUUACACUUAUGACCCAGGAUGACCAAUAGAGCUACACAGCCACAGAUCUGCCAACCAAUCACGAGUGAUUUUUCUUGUUUAAAAGUAGUGAUUUCAACCAAACCGAAAUUCAGGCCGGCAAGACAUUCACGGCCAGGCGCUGUUUAGGCUGCUGUUCAUAUGCUAAUUAGAGCCAUUGACAACUGCACGGAGGUGUCCCGCAACCCGCCAAAUCUUCAAACUAAUUAUUUUAAGUGAUGCAUUUAACUUGCCGUACUCGCAAAUAUUACCAUUUGAUUGCAGUUAUUGUAUUUUUAUUAACCUCAUGUUUCCUGUAAGAAUCUAAGAUUAGCUGAGAACUGCCCAGUCUAUCGACCACUCCGAAACGCAACUAAAGACUCACUUUUUUACAUUGGCGUUUAAUACCGAUUAAGAUUUUAUUUCAUCUUAUUUAUUGUUGCUAAUAUGCAAGUUUAAGCCUUGUUUUCAUAUUGUAUUUGUGUACAGCACUUGUCAAGUACUGUUGUUUUAAAAUGUGCUAUAUAAAUAAACGUGACAAAUGUAUCUC